GAUGAAGAACGUAGCGAAAUGCGAUAAGUAGUGUGAAUUGCAGAAUUACCUGAAUCAUCGAAUCUUUGAACGCACAUUGCGCCCCCUGGUAUUCCUGGGGGCAUGCCUGUUCGAGCGUCAUUUCAACCCUCAAGCCCCCGGGCUUGGUGUUGGGGAUCGGCGAGCCUCCGCGCCCGCCGUCCCCUAAAUCUAGUGGCGGUCUCGCUGUAGCUUCCUCUGCGUAGUAGCACACCUCGCACUGGGAAACAGCGCGGCCACGCCGUUAAACCCCCAACUUCUGAACGUUUGACCUCGGAUCAGGUAGGAAUACCCGCUGAACUUAAGCAUAUCAAUAAGCGGAGGA
rnacentral:misc_RNA from 1 species